AUACGGAGGGGGCUAGCGUUGUUCGGAAUUACUGGGCGUAAAGCGCACGUAGGCGGAUUAAAAAGUUAGAGGUGAAAUCCCAGGGCUUAACCCUGGAACUGCCUUUAAAACUAGUAGUCUAGAGUUCGAGAGAGGUGAGUGGAAUUCCAAGUGUAGAGGUGAAAUUCGUAGAUAUUUGGAGGAACACCAGUGGCGAAGGCGGCUCACUGGCUCGAUACUGACGCUGAGGUGCGAAAGCGUGGGGAGCAAACAGGAUUAGAAACCCCUGUAGUCC
rnacentral:rRNA from 1 species